rnacentral:tRNA from 1 species
GGGAUGUAGCAUAGUCCGGUCCAAUGCGCCUGCUUGUCACGCAGGAGAUCAUGGGUUCAAAUCCCAUCAUCCCC